GGGAUAGUAGUUUAUAAGAAUACGUGGGUUGCAUUCACGAGGAACUAAUUUAGUCUAUCUUG
rnacentral:tRNA from 1 species